CCAACUGAAUUGAAUGGUGCUUGCACCUGUAUUGACUGAUGUGAUCACCAAUGAGUGGAGGACGGAUGAGUAACACGUAAGUCAAGCCUGCACCCGACAGCGGAUGGAUAACAGUUUGACAAACGCAUGCUAAUACCGCAUAACAACAAAAGCCUGAUGGCUUUUGUUUGAAAGAUGGUUUUGGCUAUCACUCUGGGAUGGACCUGCGGUGCAUUAGCUAGUUGGGAAGGUAACGACUUACCAAGGCGAUGAUGCAUAACCUAAUUGAGAGACUGAUCGGCCUCAAUGUAACUGAGACACCGUCCAUACUCCUACGGGAGGCAGCAGUAAGCAAUCUUCCACAAUGAGCGCAAGACUGAUGGAGCAACACCGCGUGAGUGAAGAAUGCUUUCCGCUCGUAUAGCUCUGUUGUUGGAAAAGAACGUGCGUGAGAGUAACUGUUCACUCACUGACGGUAUCCAACCAGAAAGUCACAGCUAACUACGUGCCAGCAGCCGCGGUAAUACGUAGGUGGCAAGCGUUAUCCGUAUUGAUUGGACGUAAAGCGAGCGCAGGCGGUUGCUUAUGACUGAUGUGAAAGCCUUCCGCUUAACCAAAUAAGUGCAUCACAAACCGACCUACUUGAGUGCAAAAA
rnacentral:rRNA from 1 species